AGGGGGGCUACACAUGCAAGCCGAGCGGUAGAGAUUCUUCGGAAUCUUGAGAGCGGCGCACGGGUGCGGAACACGUGUGCAACCUGCCUUUAUCUGGGGGAUAGCCUUUCGAAAGGGAGAUUAAUACCCCAUAAUAUACUGAGUGGCAUCACUUAUUAUUGAAAACUCCGGUGGAUAGAGAUGGGCACGCGCAAGAUUAGAUAGUUGGUGAGGUAACGGCUCACCAAGUCAAUGAUCUUUAGGGGGCCUGAGAGGGUGAUCCCCCACACUGGUACUGAGACACGGACCAGACUCCUACGGGAGGCAGCAGUGAGGAAUAUUGGACAAUGGGUGAGAGCCUGAUCCAGCCAUCCCGCGUGAAGGACGACGGCCCUAUGGGUUGUAAACUUCUUUUGUACAGGGAUAAACCUUUCCACGUGUGGAAAGCUGAAGGUACUGUACGAAUAAGCACCGGCUAACUCCGUGCCAGCAGCCGCGGUAAUACGGAGGGUGCAAGCGUUAUCCGGAUUUAUUGGGUUUAAAGGGUCCGUAGGCGGAUCUGUAAGUCAGUGGUGAAAUCUCAUAGCUUAACUAUGAAACUGCCAUUGAUACUGCAGGUCUUGAGUAAGGUAGAAGUAGCUGGAAUAAGUAGUGUAGCGGUGAAAUGCAUAGAUAUUACUUAGAACACCAAUUGCGAAGGCAGGUUACUAUGUCUUAACUGACGCUGAUGGACGAAAGCGUGGGGAGCGAACAGGAUUAGAUACCCUGGUAGUCCACGCUGUAAACGAUGCUAACUCGUUUUUGGGUUUUCGGAUUCAGAGACUAAGCGAAAGUGAUAAGUUAGCCACCUGGGGAGUACGAACGCAAGUUUGAAACUCAAAGGAAUUGACGGGGGCCCGCACAAGCGGUGGAUUAUGUGGUUUAAUUCGAUGAUACGCGAGGAACCUUACCAAGACUUAAAUGGGAAUUGACAGAUUUAGAAAUAGAUCCUCCUUCGGGCAAUUUUCAAGGUGCUGCAUGG
rnacentral:rRNA from 1 species